CCUAUGUACUAUCAUUCCUUCUACUUGCUUCCUGGUUGUAAUGCCUGUUUGUGAGUGCCCAUUCUCACAAGGAUGAAAUAAAAGAGCCUUUAAUACUCUGACACAGAGUUGAAGAUGAUUUUUGAGUAGGUGGUAGUUUCUCUCAAAAUCUGGCCUCAGACACUUCCCAGCUGUGUGACCUUGGGCAAGUCACUUCACCCCCACUGUUCUCCCUUGGAACCAAGUCAUGGUAUUGAUUCUAAGAUGGAAGUGGACCAUGACAACUUGAGAGCAGCUUACUGGAGGGAAACUCUACUGGGCCAAUCCAGCUAAGGACCUGGUAGGAAAAAAAUCAUCAUAAGAAGACUAAGCCAAGUGCUGUAUGGGAUUCUUCAGGUCACGUCUCUGAUGGAGGGAAGGAUGGAUCUCUGGUGUUUGUGACUGAAGACACUCUUUGGUUGUGUUGCCACUCUGUUGAAACAACCUGGUGAACUGUAGCUAACCCAUUCUGGCACCUAGCAAUUGGGUCUCUAUGGCUUCCUAUGAUUUGUUUGAUUGAUUUUCCCUGCAAAUCGAAUGAAUUGUUCAGUGUUGCUCAGAUGUUCUGGGCUGUGCCCGUCACUGACUACCAUCUAUUUCCUUUUGGGUUUAGAUUGUGUUUUCUUGCUUUAGGGAACUCCCUGUAGCAAAACUUCCUCUAGCAAUGAAGAUCAUCCAGUUGUAGCAAGUUGCUUGAGGCUUUGGAGGUUAACUCAGCUCAGGAUCAUAAAGCUAGUAAGGUCAGGGUCAGAAUUAGAUCCCAGGUCUUUUCUAUGUGGUAUUAACUCUACUAGGGUGCCAUAUUGGGAGAGGGAAAAAAUUAACCAGGGCAUUCAUCAGGAGCCAAUUUAUUAACUUAUGCGGAGAAGAUUCAUCUUUCGCGUUCUUUAAAUAAGAUGCUUUCCCUUCAUUAAAACCAUCCAAGUCAGUAAAUGAAAAGGUAUUUGGGGUUCCACAGUUACCCAAAUGCUGCUCUGAUCCAGCUGUAGUGCCACUUUCUCCACCACCCUUGGAAUCAUAAGAUAGAAUCACACUUUACAUAAAGGGAGCCCUGUACCGCGAAUUUUCUCAUUGUUUUUCCUCUGCUGUUGGAAGGGAAGGGGCCAGGACAGUGUCUUGGAAAGAGGCUUGGCAUUGUCAUCAUAGGACUUGAUGGUGCCAUUUAUUAGGUCUGUAUGUUUAUUUAUGCAUGUGUAUGUACUUGGGCAAAUUAAAAAUUCUUUAAGCUUCAGUUUCUUUAUUGGUUAAAUAGUAAAAACAAUUUAUUCUUGGUAUUGUAAGGAAUAUUCUUUGUAAAUCUUAAAGAGCUUUAGAAAUGUGAUUUACUGCGGUUGUAUAAAGCUAGUCAGGUUGUCUCACUUAAUGCGUUAGAGAAAACUGCCUCUUGCAUUGAAUUAAACUGAGUUUU